rnacentral:miRNA from 10 species
AUGAGUAGAUAAAGAAAAUGUGAUAUAUAUGUGUGUAUAUAUAUAUAUAUAUAUAUACACACACACACACACACACACACACACACACAC